CAAUAGCGUAUAUUAAAGUUGUUGCAGUUAAAAAGCUCGUAGUUGGAUUUCUGGUAGGAGUGACCGUUCCGAACUUGAUUGUUCGUGUAUUGUGUUUUCUCCAGCCAUCCUUGUGGAGAACUUUUCUUGCAUUAAUUUGUAGGGAUUGGGACCCGCAUCGUUUACUGUGAAAAAAUUAGAGUGUUUAAAGCAGGCAAACGCUUGAAUACAUUAGCAUGGAAUAAUAAGAUAGGACUUUGGUACUAUUUUGUUGGUUUGCAUACCAAAUUAAUGAUCAACAGGAACAGUUUGAGGAUAUUCGUAUGAACAUGUCAGAGGUGAAAUUCUUGGAUUUUGAUCAGACGAACUACUGCGAAAGCAUUUAUCAAGGAUGUUUUCAUUAA
rnacentral:rRNA from 1 species